CCCGGCGAUUGGGCGCCAGGGGCGUCUGGGUCUCGCGCGGGCGUGGGAGCCGAGGGCCCGGCCGCGGCGCCCGAGAGGCGGAGAUGGGCCAGUGACCCUCGACCCGUCCGUCCGUCGGGCUAGCGAGACCAGCCCGCCGCGGAGGAGACAGAGCAGGGAGCUACAGGAGGCCGUUCCGGAAAACGCCACGGGCAAGCAGGAGUUGAUCAUCAGAUCUUGUAAGAAAAUUAACGGAAAAAAGAUGCCUCUCGGCUCUGUGGAGUCAGACUUUCUGCGGUGGCUCCUGGACCUUUAGCAAACCUCGACUAUGGAACAGUAAAGAAGUGAUGAAACUGGCCCACAGAAGAGGUCGCUGAGAUGUGUGGUCAUCAGGC
rnacentral:lncRNA from 1 species